AGCCUGGGCUGAGGUCCCCUUUCCUGCUGACAGGUCUUGGCCAACGGGCUGGACAACAAGCUGCGCGAGGAUUUGGAGCGCCUGAAGAAGAUCCGGGCCCAUCGGGGCCUGCGUCACUUCUGGGGCCUCCGUGUCCGGGGCCAGCACACCAAGACCACCGGCCGCCGCGGCAGAACCGUGGGCGUCUCCAAGAAGAAGUAAAAAAAAAAAAACAACCCUUUGUGUUAAUAAAGACCUUCUACUCCCA